UACGAACUGUGCAAACGUUAUUCGGAAUCACUGGGCUUAAAGGGUGCGUAGGCGGCUUGUCAAGUAGGGUGUGAAAGCCCCCGGCUUAACCGGGGAAUUGCGCCCUAAACUGACGAGCUGGAGUGGGACAGGGGUGUGUGGAACUUCCGGUGGAGCGGUGAAAUGUGUUGAGAUCGGAAGGAACGCCCGUGGCGAAAGCGAGGCCCAGGACCCUUUCUGACGCUGAGACGCGAAAGCCAGGGGAGCGAACGGG
rnacentral:rRNA from 1 species